UUGUUCCAGGUGAUUGCACUCUCAUAUUUCCCUUGCUAACUGGGAAUAACUAAAUAGUUAGAGAUGAGUAAUGUUUUUUUUUCCUUGCAGGUGGUGGCAUUGCUCUUCUUUACGCAAAGAAAAGAGUUAGAUAAAUUAACAACAACCAACUUUGACCAGAAGAUUGGUGUAUAAAUCAUUCAGAAUGCUCUGAAGGAAAGAUAUCAAGAAAUAUUACGGGAAAAAUCACAGUCUCAGUCUGAUAUUGAUCAAUGUGAAGCAUAUUACGAAGCUGCUGGGGGAACAAGGAAGAGAAGAAUAUAUCGUAGUCCUUCACCCAUGCAUUAGUUUUUUUAUGUUAUCUGCUUUUUGCUGGAAAGAACAAAAUUAUGCACUAACAAUACUUGAUGGAUGUGUGGGUUCUUUUGGUAGUUGAUAGCUUGGUGUUGUCAGUGUUUUGGACUAAACGAUUAGGAUUCCGUUAUCUAUUUUGAAUCUUUUUUAUAAAUAUUAUUUUAUGUGAAUAUCAGUUAUUUUUAAGGGUAUU